rnacentral:misc_RNA from 1 species
AAGUCGUAACAAGGUUUCCGUAGGUGAACCUGCGGAAGGUCAUUAACACGGUUAGAUUAAUCGCCGCGCACCUUGUUAAAAAACGGACUUUGUUCGAACCAGGAAAUUGAGAGCAAGCUGCUUGAUUGAUGGGUGGCCUCUCGGUUGACAAACGACUUGGUUUUUGAUCUCACGGUCCGUCAUCAAUCACUUGGAGCUUUCUUUUUGAUAAACACCUUUUCGUACUACUACCCGUCUGAAUCGUUUGAUCUCUCUGCCUCUUUUGCUUUUUUCUUUCUGAGAAAAGAGAGAGAGAGCGUUGGGAAAGAACAAAAAAACAAAACUUUGAACAACUCGGUUCUC